AUAUGCUUGUUCACAUGUGCAACACAGGCAUGCCUACUGUCCAGGAGGUUGAAGAAGGUGUGAGGUUCCGUGAUGCUGAAAUUACAGCCACUUGUGAGCUGUCAACGGGUUCUCUGGAAGAACAGGUGAAGAAUGGAGUAUCCACAAAUGACAAUACCAAAUAUACUCCCUCCUGUUCUUAUGAGCCUAUUGAGGUUGAGGUUUUACUGGAACUCAAGCCAUUCUUCUCCCUUCUCAUCAUCCUGUAUCUAUUGUUUGGCUUGAAGAAAGUAUCAUUGUAAAAUAUCCAAAAGCCUGAAGUCUCACCCUUGGAACACAGGAAGCAAAACUCUCAAAUAUCAUCCUGGGUGACGAUGUAGAUUAGACCCAUCAGAUGAAAUGAAGAAUUGAAAAACUCUCCUGGGGAUGAAAAUGGACCAAUUGCUUCCCUUCCCAGAUAUGGCAGUUGAGGCAGUUGUCUUCCCCAUAUGCUCUGGUAUCUAUGUAGCAGAAGUCUUGGACUGGCCAAAGCAUAUACUAGAAGGUGGAAAAUUUCCUGAACCUCUGAAGGGUAAGCUUAAUUGAUACUGUUGUUCUUCAUAUUGGGUUCCAAAUCCCUCCAGAUCCUUAAGUCAUUCCCCUAUCUCUUCCUUUGUGGCUGUCAGGUGCUGUCAAAUGCUUAGGUGUUUCUGCAUCUGUCACGGUCAGGUGAUGGCAGAGCCCCACGGAGGACAGACGUAUUAGGCUCUUAUCUGCGAGCACAUCUUGACCUCAGGAAUAGUCUGAGGAUUUGGAGUCUCUGGAGGAAAUUGUUAGUCUGGUCGGGUGGUCUCUGGAUUGCCUUUCCUUCAGUCUCUGCUCCAUUUUUGUAUUU